AACACAUGCAAGUCGAGCGGAAACGACUUAACUGAACCUUCGGGGAACGUUAAGGGCGUCGAGCGGCGGACGGGUGAGUAAUGCCUGGGAAAUUGCCCUGAUGUGGGGGAUAACCAUUGGAAACGAUGGCUAAUACCGCAUAAUAGCUUCGGCUCAAAGAGGGGGACCUUCGGGCCUCUCGCGUCAGGAUAUGCCCAGGUGGGAUUAGCUAGUUGGUGAGGUAAGGGCUCACCAAGGCGACGAUCCCUAGCUGGUCUGAGAGGAUGAUCAGCCACACUGGAACUGAGACACGGUCCAGACUCCUACGGGAGGCAGCAGUGGGGAAUAUUGCACAAUGGGCGCAAGCCUGAUGCAGCCAUGCCGCGUGUAUGAAGAAGGCCUUCGGGUUGUAAAGUACUUUCAGCAGUGAGGAAGGUUCAUACGUUAAUAGCGUAUGGAUUUGACGUUAGCUGCAGAAGAAGCACCGGCUAACUCCGUGCCAGCAGCCGCGGUAAUACGGAGGGUGCGAGCGUUAAUCGGAAUUACUGGGCGUAAAGCGCAUGCAGGUGGUUUGUUAAGUCAGAUGUGAAAGCCCGGGGCUCAACCUCGGAAUUGCAUUUGAAACUGGCAGACUAGAGUACUGUAGAGGGGGGUAGAAUUUC
rnacentral:rRNA from 1 species